rnacentral:rRNA from 1 species
AACGAACGCUGGCGGCAUGCCUAACACAUGCAAGUCGAACGAAGGCUUCGGCCUUAGUGGCGCACGGGUGCGUAACGCGUGGGAACCUGCCCUUUGGUUCGGAAUAACCAGGAGAAAUUCUGGCUAAUACCGGAUGAUGUCGCAAGACCAAAGAUUUAUCGCCAGAGGAUGGGCCGGCGUAGGAUUAGCUAGUUGGUGAGGUAAAGGCUCACCAAGGCGACGAUCCUUAGCUGGUCUGAGAGGAUGAUCAGCCACACCGGGACUGAGACACGGCCCAGACUCCUACGGGAUGCAGCAGUGGGGAAUAUUGGACAAUGGGCGAAAGCCUGAUCCAGCAAUGCCGCGUGAGUGAUGAAGGCCUUAGGGUUGUAAAGCUCUUUUAUCCGGGAUGAUAAUGACAGUACCGGGAGAAUAAGCCCCGGCUAACUCCGUGCCAGCAGCCGCAGUAA